AAUACACGAAAUGAGGAUUCUGAAAUAGAAACUGAUGACUAAAAUAAGGGCAAGAAAGAUGGCCUGUUUGCUUGGAGAGUGAGGCCAGAAAUAGAAGGCUCUGGGCCUCUCCUACUGCUUCAGUGGACUGAGCCUGUGUUCCAGCUGCUCCUGCAGGCGAUCAUUAAUGCAGAUGGACUCCUCCAGGCGCUGGCGCAGGUUCCAGAUUUCACCAAGAUGCUCCUCUAGCAGAUAUCCAGAAGUUUACCUGAGCUUGCCUGAAGAGCAUACUGGCUUCAAACACAGGACCGGUGAUGCUAAGCAAGCCCCAGUGGCCUCCUCCCAUACAGGGGUCUGUGUCAGGGAGUUGGAAUACAUGUACGGUGACCUGGGCAACUGGAGCCUCAACUGGGCCCCCACACUGGAAACACAGAAAGGAGAGAGGGGAUGGAAGAAAGGAAAUCAGCAGGUUCGGAGGAUGAGAAAACCCAAAGAAAAGCGAGGUAAUGGUUGAGGAGCUGUUUGCCAAGGGAGGUGAGGACAAGGACAAGUGGAGCUUGGAAAGUUCAGUAGGAAGUGAGGAACGCACAGCAUCAUCUAAGUUCUCAAGGAGCAACCUGAGCUGAGCAGGAAGGACCAGGAGAGUAAUGUAGUCCCCAGCAAACUUGUGCACCUGCCGAGGAGAUCCACACGACGGAUCCAGUUGGUUUAUACUGCUGGGAGCACCAAUCCCAGGAGGAGGAUGAGGUUUAUACUUCUGGGAGCACCAGUUCCAGGAGGAAGACGAUGGGACCUUGAGGCUCUGCACUAGACUCCCAGCCUCAAACUUGGAAGUGGCCACACGUGGAUGUCCUCCAAGUAAGGGUGCAAUAAGGUGGAUAAAUGGUGUUUGGAGAAACAUUAGAGAUCUUCAUUCUUAUCAGGGGCCAGGAUAAUGGGACUCAUUUCUGAAGCAGAGAUGGUAAUAAUAUUCUUGUGCAUUUACAAUUUUGAGGCUCUACACACAUCCUCUCUUAACUAUGUGUUGAGUGCUUAAUGUGCAGACAAGGAAGAGCAUGUACACUGUUCCAUUUUAUAAAUUUGUUAAAAAGGCAAAUUCAUGUAAACUGGCUGCUUGGGGCUAAGCGCUGAGGGAGUGAUGCACUGCAGAGGGGAACAAGGAGAGUUGUGACCGAUGGAAACACCCUGCGUCGUGAUGGUAGCUGUGGUUUCCAUAAUGUAUACAUCUAUCAAACGCAUGUAGUUCUAUAGUUUUAAAUAGUGCCGUCAAGAGGAGUCAUAUAAAAAUCUACCACAUUUCUCCAUACCAGCAGGAUUAGGAAAUGAAAUUCAAUAAAACAUAAUAGAGAUAAACA
rnacentral:lncRNA from 1 species